CCAUCAUCGAACUGAAGGACCUGGUCGUGCGACCAUCCAAUAUCGCGGUAGCGAUUAGAUACCAAAAAAAAAUAAAUAAAAAUAUUUCUUAGUUACUAAACAUUUUUGACAAACGAACACAAUGCAAAUUAUUCUUUCAGUCACAGCAACACAACUCAAAAAAAAAAAAAAAACCAUAGACCACACACAGCAGAAGCUUCAGCAAAAGAAGUAGAAACAGGAUCAGCAGCCGCAACAAGAAAACAACACAAACAGAUGCAGAAGCAACAACAUCAUCAGCGUCCGCAUCAGUGCACCAGUUCCAUUUGAGGUAUGGAUCGUUCGGCCCUACUUGCACACUGUCGUUAAAGCCAGACAGACCUCAGCUAUGGGAUGGAGCAGUAUCAGCACCAAGUUCCGCUGGUCCUUCCAAAAACGCUACGGAACCCAUGUGCUGCGCUGGCCUCACCACAGCUGUGGCCAGGCCAUCGACACCAUUCUAGCCGAUGAGAUGGGCCUCGGCAAGACCAUUCAGACUGUGACCUUUCUCUGUUCCGCUACAAGGAGGGUCACUGCCGCUUGCCUGGGCAGCAUCGAUUGGGCUGUCCUGAAACUGCUGUCCUGCUGAAGCAUCCACUCCUCGAGAGAGGAGUUCACAAGAACGGGUGUGAUGAUGUUUUCGACCUGGAGCUGCAAUCUGCUAUCUGCUGUUCAUCGUCUGAUCAAUGAGCUGUGCUGCGCCAGCGCUGGUCACGCUCGGUCACACUACGGUGGGAUGAACUUGAAUCAAUAAUACCUGAAUACUUUGUAAUACAUUUUUUGUGUAUGAUGUUUGGAGCUUAACUAAUAAUGUUUGUGGAAAACUUUUUUGGAAUUGCUUGCUUAACGAAUUC
rnacentral:lncRNA from 1 species